rnacentral:lncRNA from 1 species
GAGGGGUCGCGCUCCUCUGUGGGUUUGGAGGGCUGCCUGUCCGGCGUUGCCUGCCGGAGGGCUUGGCGCUCAGCCACAGUUGCAUCAUCACUGAAUGCACUGAGCCUGUGACCCUGUUUUUACACACACCUGUACCCAGUUCAAGCGGCAUCGGGAGAGUCGUCUUAAAACUUCAAUCUAAAACGUUCUUUUCCAUCUGAUCGGGCAGAGCGCAGGCCCCACGGGCCAUCGUGGGAGGCACAUACAGUCCGCACCGCGCGGACGCCCAGACCGCGGCCUCCGCUCCGCCCCGCCGCCUAGUCCAAGCGGGCAGCCAGUCUCCGCCCUGGAGGCGGCGGCAGAACCGGCUGCGCGAGGUCGGCGCUGGGGCGGCCCGCACAUUCCCGCAGGCUCUGCGCCAAGGGGCGGUGCUGCGUACGAGCAGAGCCGAGACCUUGACCCUGACCCGGGCCCUGGGGAGGGAGCGUCCGGCCAGGGAACCUGCCCCUGCGCGCUCCUCGGCUCUUACGCGGCGGCUAGAGGCGUGAGGCCAGAGCCAUGAUCAGAGGGCGCGCAGUGAGGACGCCCCCAGCCCGCCUCGGAGCUUGGGGCCGCGCUGGGGUCAAGCGGAGCGCACAGAGGCCUGUUAUCUGCCAGGGUUAGGAGCCACCGUGGCCAGGUGCCCUGGAGCGGGCCCUGGACCUGCGCGAUCGCUGCGGGACAGAAGAGCGGAGACGCGGUUCACUGCCUGGCGCCUACAACCAGCGUGAACUAAGUGGCGAGUGGAAGAGAAUAAUUUGCCAAAAGAGGGAGGAUUUGCUGGUCUACUGGCGGAACUGGAACCCACUAUACCCACAUCCCCAUUCACGAGCGCCCACCUUGAAGGCGUAGAGACGCCAUGGUUGUCAUAGAAACACUCGUGCUGGGCCGCUGACAUGAGCCUGCGGCGUGGAGUGAGUCUCUGAAUCUUGCCCAGCCCCAAGUGCUCCCUCCAGGAUCUUCCUCUGGACUCUCCAUCUCUCCCCUUUCCCUAAGAAGAUCACCCGGGUCCUGCCUCUCCAAGACUGCUCGUGGGAAUACACACUGUCACCCACACAAGACAGCCUGCUCAACGAGUACUUGCAUCGCCAGCAUCCACAGUCUGCAGAGGUCAGCAACAGUUUUUAUUUCUGAAACACAUAGCUUUUCUCAUCCAACUUGCCCAGAAAUCCAGGAGGUAGAUAUCAUUCCCAUUUUACAGACGAGGAAACAGAAGCCUGGGGAGGUUAAGUAACUCCUCCAGUAUCACAUGUAAUAAGUGACAGAACCAGCACUCAAACCCAGGCAGUCAAGCUCUUUCCCCUCCCCAAGGAGUCUCACAGAGCAGCAGUUUAAAGAACCAUGUCUGGGUGAUAUCUUCUGGUGCUUCUAUGAGCAUUCAUGGAAUUGUUGCAUAUGUGAUGUGCAGGUCAUGAGAAUGUGUGAUGUUCUUGCAUCAUUUUAUGCUGCUUUGGACUUGAAGCAGCAUUUCUCAGAUACAGAAAUUAUGUUGGCAAGUUAAGUUGGAUGACAACUACCUACACCCGUAUUUUCUUUUAUUAAUCAAAUACAAAUGUAGCUGAGGUAUAUGGCCUCAUUCGAUCCUCACAACCCCUUAUGAGACUGAAACAGUGGUAAAGUGAUUCCUUCUUCCACAUUGUGAAUUUCCUUCACGGAAAAUUCUGAACAUACAGUACUUCAAAACGUAAAUCUUUUCCACAGUGUCACAGAUUUCAAACUAAUUAUAAAUACUACAUAUAAAUGCUGUGUAAAUAUGACAUAUACACACACACACACUAUAAAUGCUAUAUAUUUAUAUGGUAACAUCUAAAUGCCAGGUACUGCUCUAAACACUUUCCAUAGUAACUCAUUUAAUAAUUACAAUCACCCUAUGAAGUAGAAACUUAUUUUUUUCAAAGAUAUUUUUAAAUUAUUAAUUUUUAUGGCUGCAUAGGUGUAUCUAUUUAGGGGUACAUAAGAUAUUUUGAUACAGGCAUAUAAUGCAUAAUAAUCACAUCAGGAACUGGGCGCGGUGGCUCAUGCCUGUAAUCUCAGUACUUUGGGAGGCCGAGGC